rnacentral:lncRNA from 1 species
AUGGCGGCGGCGCCGAGCGCUGUCACACCGCUGGCAGCGGAGUCUUCCCCUCAGGAAGCUACCGUCUCUGUCGCCUCCUCCUCCUCCUCCUCCUCCACCGCCACCGCCUGCGCGGCGGCGGCGGCGGCGGCGGCAGCGGCAGCGAUUGUGCCUGCCUCCUCCGCCACCUCCACGUCUGCCUGCCCGCCUGCCGGUGACUGUGGCGGCGGCGGCGGCGGCGGCGGCGGCGGCUUUGGCGGCUCCACUAUGGCGGCGGCGGGGAGGGGGGGCAGUAGGUUUAAAGUAGACACCCGCCCUUGCCUGAGAGAAGAUAUGACUUGGAAUGAACAGGAAAAGACUGAACUUUUUGCAGAUAAUUUUUGUAAUGUAUGUGGAGUGGUGCUUCAGUUUGAAUCACAAAGGAUUUCACAUUAUGAGAGUGAAAAACAUGCUCAAAAUGUUAGGUUUUAUUUUCAAAUGCCUGGGGAACAAAAUGAAGUGCCUGGUAAGAAAAUGAAGAUGGAUGUGAGGAAUUUUCAGGAGCAUAGAAGUGAAGUAGUGGACAGAAACAAAUUUUGUGGUCUCUGCCACAUGGUUUUUAGCUCCUCAGUUGUUGCUCAGUCUCACUAUGUGGGGAAAGUCCAUUCUAAAAAACUGAAGCAAUUAAUGGAGGAGCAUGAUCAGGUAUCUCCAUCAAGAUUUCAGCCAGCAACGGCAUUUAGUAUGAGAACCUACGAUUGUCGUAUUUGUAAUAUCACCUUUACAUCUUUAGAAAUGUUCCGGUCUCAUAUGCAAGGAAGUGAACAUCAACUUAAAGAAUCCAUUGUUAUCAAUCUAGUGAAGAAAUCAAGGAAGCCACCAGACUCUUGCCAAGAUGAAUCUACAGAUUACAUCAAAGUACAGAAAGCCAGGGGAUCAGAACCAAAGACUUGUUUUAGAAAGAUGGAAGAAAGUUCUUUGGAAGCCCGUGGAUACAGAGAAGCAGUUGAUUCCAGAUCCAGACAUAGAAUGUUUGAACAAAGAUCCCCAUGUGAGACUUUCUGGACAUAUCCAGGACCAUAUAAUACUUCACAAACAGUGGAAAACCAGUUACCUCAUUGCUUACCAGCUCAAUCAAAGAAAACAUAUGACUCUUUUCAAGAUGAACUGGAAGAUUAUAUCAAAGUGCAGAAAGCCAGAGGACUAGAUCCAAAGACUUGUUUCAGAAAGGAAAGAGAGAGCUCUGUGGAAACCCAUGGGUACAGAGAAAUUUAUUCUGGACCCAGACCAAGAAUGUGUGAACGAAGAUAUUCAUUUGAGACUUCUCAGACCUACCAACGACCAUACACUAUUUCACCAGUGGAAAGCCAAGUAUAUCACUGGUUACCAGCUCCUUCGAAGAGGACAUAUAACUCUUUCCAAGAUGAACUUGAGGAUUAUAUCAAAGUGCAGAAAGCCAGAGGACUAGAGCCAAAGACUUCUUUCAGAAAGAUAAGUGAUAGCUCUGUAGAAACCCAUAAGCACAGAGAAAUGGUUGAUUCCAGACCCAGACCUAGAAUGUUUGAGCAAAAACUCCCAUUUGAGACUUUCCAUUUCCAGGCUUACCCAGGAUCAUAUAGUAUUUCACAGGCAGAAGAAAACCAGUUACCUCAUCCUUUACCAACUCAUGACAGCAAACAGAGAUUAGACUCUGUGACCUACUGUCAACCCACCAGAGACUGUUUCCCAGAAAAACCAGUACCCCUGAGCCUUAGUCAGCAGGAUAAUAACUCUGGCACAUACAGUGUAGAAUCUGAAGUUUAUAAGCACCUCUCCUCAGAAAACGAUACCAGUGAGCAUCAAGUAGGUCAUAAGCGGAAACAUCAGAAGAAAAGAAGGCACAUGGAGAAAGGUGAAGAAAGGCCAGAGAAGGAGCAGUCCAAGCAUAAAAGAAAAAAGAGUUAUGCGGAUACAGACCUAGACAAGCACAAGGGCACUGGGGAAAGGAAAAGAGAUGGAGAUAAAUUCAGAGUCAGUUCAGGAAGGCUUAAGCAUCGAAAAAAGAAAAAAAGCCGUGGUGUACCCUCUGAGAAGGAAGAACGUAAGCACAAGAAAGAGAAAAAAAAAUCUGUUGAAGAAAAGACGGAAGAGGAAAUGCUUUGGGAUGAGUCUAUUCUUGGAUUUUAA